rnacentral:rRNA from 1 species
CCUACGGGGGGCAGCAGUGGGGAAUCUUAGACAAUGGGGGAAACCCUGAUCUAGCCAUGCCGCGUGAGUGAUGAAGGCCCUAGGGUCGUAAAGCUCUUUCGCCAGGGAUGAUAAUGACAGUACCUGGUAAAGAAACCCCGGCUAACUCCGUGCCAGCAGCCGCGGUAAUACGGAGGGGGUUAGCGUUGUUCGGAAUUACUGGGCGUAAAGCGCGCGUAGGCGGAUUAGAAAGUUGGGGGUGAAAUCCCGGGGCUCAACCCCGGAACUGCCUCCAAAACUACUAGUCUAGAGUUCGAGAGAGGUGAGUGGAAUUCCGAGUGUAGAGGUGAAAUUCGUAGAUAUUCGGAGGAACACCAGUGGCGAAGGCGGCUCACUGGCUCGAUACUGACGCUGAGGUGCGAAAGUGUGGGGAGCAAACAGGAUUAGAUACCCCCGUAGUC